rnacentral:misc_RNA from 1 species
GGGACGAAGUGGUUGGGCGCUUCGGCGUGUGAAAACGUCCC